rnacentral:lncRNA from 1 species
GGGUGAGCUAACAGGACUCGUUCUUCCUCUCUUUGCAUUUAAAAAUAUCUGUCUUGCACUGUUUCUGCUUCUGUCAGUUAUUGUCAGCAUCCUAUCCAGAAGAUAUAAUGUAUAGUCUCUAUGCCCUGUGGAAUUUUGGAGAGUGCAUGCUUUCAUCAGAGUCUUCACAAAGUGCUCACAACCGGUGGUCCCUCCUCACCUGGGUUGAUGCUCCUGUUUCUAUCUUGAGGUGCCCUGUGUGCAGUGCUAGUCUAAACUGUGUGAGUGUGAAAGCCAGGACAUCACCAGCUCUAACCAGGUCCUGUGUAUCUCUUCAGUUGUUCAUACCUGAGACUAGAAUUAAAGAUGCCAGUACAGCCACCGAAAGAUGCUAGGCACUCAGAACCAGUUUCAAUUGGAGUUGACCACUGAAGUACAAGGGUAGCCUACAAAAUGCACAAUGUUCAAUGUUCUCUGAUGGUCACAAGGGAUCCUAAAACAUUGUCAGUAAAGAUAUGGGAUACACUUUAAAAAAUACCCACUGUAUCUUAGGUAAGACUACUGAUGUGAAACAUCUAGCCUCCUCAGAAGAAAGAAUUAUAAAAAAU